UACGAAGGGGGCUAGCGUUGCUCGGAUUGACUGGGCGUAAAGGGUGCGUAGGCGGCGCGGUAAGUCGGGUGUGAAAUCUCGGAGCUUAACUCCGAAACUGCAUUCGAUACUGCCGUGCUUGAGGACUGGAGAGGAGACUGGAAUUUACGGUGUAGCGGUGAAAUGCGUAGAUAUCGUAAGGAAGACCAGUGGCGAAGGCGGGUCUCUGGACAGUUCCUGACGCUGAGGCACGAAGGUCAGGGGAGCAAACGGG
rnacentral:rRNA from 1 species